AUUGAACGCUGGCGGCAGGCUUAACACAUGCAAGUCGAGCGGAUGAAGGCAGCUUGCUUCUGGAUUCAGAGGCGCACGGGUGUGAAUUACCUAGGAAUAUCCCUGGUUGUGGGGUUAACGUCCGGAAACGGGCGCUAAUACCGCCUAGGUCCUGAGGGAGAAAGUGGGGGAUCUUCUGAAAUCUUUCUCUCAGAUGAGCUUAGGUCGGAUUUGCUAGUUGGUGGGGUAAAGGCCUACCAAGCCGACGAUCCGUAACUGGUCUGAGAGGAUGAUCAGUCACACUGGAAGUGAGACACGGUCCAGACUCCUACGGGAGGCGGCAGUGGGGAAUAUUGGACAAUGGGCGGAAGCCUGAUCCAGCCAUGCCGCGUGUGUGAAGAAGGCCUUCGGAUUGUAAAGCACUUUAUGUUGGGAGGAAGCGCAGUAAGUUAAUACCUUGCUGUAUUGACGGUACCAGCAGAAUAAGCACCGGCUAACUACGUG
rnacentral:rRNA from 1 species